CAAGUCGAACGAUUAAAGCCCCUUCGGGGGUGUAUAAAGUGGCGAACGGGCGAGUAAUGCGUUUCUAACGUGCCCCGAGGUCGGGGAUAGCUGGGGGAAACCCCAGGUAAUACCCGAUGACCCCAUCGGAUCGCAUGGUUUGAUGGGCAAAGGCUUGCUGCCUCGGGAUCGGGAAACGUCCUAUCAGGUUGUUGGUGAGGUAACGGCUCACCAAGCCAGAGACGGGUAGCGGGUGUGAGAGCACGACCCGCCGCAUCGGGACUGAGACACUGCCCGGACUCCUACGGGAGGCUGCAGUAACGGAUAUUGGGCAAUGAGCGCAAGCUUGACCCAGCAAUGCCGCGUGCAGGAUGAAGCCCCUCGGGGUGUAAACUGCUGUCAGGGUUUAGGAAGCAAGUGACCAAACCCAAAGGAAGGGCCGGCUAACUUCGUGCCAGCAGCCGCGGUAAUACGAAGGGCCCGAGCGUUAAUCGGAAUCACUGGGCUUAAAGGGUGCGUAGGCGGAAACGUCAGUGUCUUGUGAAAUCCCACGGCUCAACCGUGGAACUGCAGGGCAUACUGCGUUUCUUGAGGCCGGUAGAGGUCGUCGGAACUCUAGGUGUAGCGGUGAAAUGCGUAGAUAUCUAGAGGAACGCCAAAGGUGAAGACAGGCGACUGGGCCGGUUCUGACGCUGAGGCACGAAAGCGUGGGGAGCAAACAGGAUUAGAUACUCUGGUAGUCCACGCCGUAAACGUUGUGCACUAGAUCCGGGAGGUUUUGACGCCGUCCGGGUCGAAGAGAAAUUGAUAAGUGCACCGCCUGGGGAGUACGGUCGCAAGGCUAAAACUCAAAGGAAUUGACGGGGGCUCACACAAGCGGUGGAACAUGUGGCUUAAUUCGAGGCAACGCGAAGAACCUUAUCCAGGGUUUGACAUGCAUGGAUUAACCUCUGGAAACAGAGGCCACGCCCUUUGGGUGGAACAUGCACAGGUGCUGCAUGGCUGUCGUCAGCUCGUGCUGUGAAGUGUUGGGUUAAGUCCCUUAACGAGCGAAACCCCUGUCGUUAGUUGCCAGUAGGUUAUGCUGGGCACUCUAACGAGACUGCCGGUGUCAAACCGGAGGAAGGCGGGGAUGACGUCAAGUCCUCAUGGCCUUU
rnacentral:rRNA from 1 species